ACUCGUUUAAUGCUGCUUUAUUUUCAAAAUAAAUAUUCCACUUUCCAUCUAAUAUUUUGAUUGGGUCACUUAACCUAAUAAUACCAAUACUUAUAUGAGAUAUUGUGAGCCGCCAUUAUGAUUCUUAACCACCUCCUCCUACUUCCUACCUCUUAUCAUCUUUCUCAUUCUUUUAAAGUCUUUAAUCUAUACAUAACUGCUCAUCGAUCCAUAAUCCCAGACAAUAUUGUUUGAUCUAGUUGAUAAUUUGAGUAUAUACCCACAUCAAAUCAUAUCUAAAAUCCUAACCCAAUUACCCGCAAAAACAUUAUAUGAAGCCGUUUCGUAACAUAUUGACUGUCUCCUACAUCUAUGCAUUUCCUCCAUCAUGGUCAAUCUUCGACAGAUUCAUCAGAAUACACUAGGAGGCAGGCGAUUCAAAACCCGAGUUUCAGAGUCAAUGGAAGAAACCCCAAAUGAUGCAUUAGUUGGGGACUUGACUUGAAGCAAUAAAGUGCGCACUAGCAGUCAUGGUUUAGAAAAGCCAACCAUGAUCUUCGAGUAGAUCACCGCCAACUCAUGUUCUUUCUAGUGUUAUUUUUUCUUUGACAUAUGUAUCAAUGUAUGUACCGACCUGGCAAAAUGGCGGAAUAGAUAUAUUUUGUAAAAUAUCAAUGACUUCAUUCAUUUUUGGGAAAUGCAAUGCAAUGUUAAUAAUAACAGUUUGUAUUUGGAAAGUA